rnacentral:rRNA from 1 species
UCAUUGGAAACUGGGAAACUUGAGUGCAGAAGAGGAGAGUGGAAUUCCACGUGUAGCGGUGAAAUGCGUAGAGAUGUGGAGGAACACCAGUGGCGAAGGCGACUCUCUGGUCUGUAACUGACGCUGAGGAGCGAAAGCGUGGGGAGCGAACAGGAUUAGAUACCCUGGUAGUCCACGCCGUAAACGAUGAGUGCUAAGUGUUAGGGGGUUUCCGCCCCUUAGUGCUGCAGCUAACGCAUUAAGCACUCCGCCUGGGGAGUACGGUCGCAAGACUGAAACUCAAAGGAAUUGACGGGGGCCCGCACAAGCGGUGGAGCAUGUGGUUUAAUUCGAAGCAACGCGAAGAACCUUACCAGGUCUUGACAUCCUCUGACAACCCUAGAGAUAGGGCUUUCCCUUCGGGGACAGAGUGACAGGUGGUGCAUGGUUGUCGUCAGCUCGUGUCGUGAGAUGUUGGGUUAAGUCCCGCAACGAGCGCAACCCUUGAUCUUAGUUGCCAGCAUUCAGUUGGGCACUCUAAGGUGACUGCCGGUGACAAACCGGAGGAAGGUGGGGAUGACGUCAAAUCAUCAUGCCCCUUAUGACCUGGGCUACACACGUGCUACAAUGGACAGAACAAAGGGCUGCGAGACCGCAAGGUUUAGCCAAUCCCACAAAUCUGUUCUCAGUUCGGAUCGCAGUCUGCAACUCGACUGCGUGAAGCUGGAAUCGCUAGUAAUCGCGGAUCAGCAUGCCGCGGUGAAUACGUUCCC